GAUCCUGGCUCAGGAUGAACGCUAGCGGCAGGCUUAACACAUGCAAGUCGAGGGGCAGCGGGUGUAGCAAUACACUGCCGGCGACCGGUCGCACGGGUGCGUAACGCGUAUGCAACCUACCCAUAACAGGGGCAUAACACUGAGAAAUUGGUACUAAUUCCCCAUAACAUUCGAAGAGGCAUCUCUUUGGGUUGAAAACUCCGGUGGUUUAUGGAUGGGCAUGCUUGUAUUAGGCUAGUUGG
rnacentral:rRNA from 1 species